GCUGGGCGUGGUGGCGCCUGCCUGUAGUCCCAGCUACUUGGGAGGCUGAGGUGGGAGGAUCACUUCAGCCCAGGAGUUCUGGGCUGUAGUGCACUAUGCCGAUCGGGUGUCUGCACUAAGUUUGGCCUCAAUAUGGUGACCUCCUAGGAGUAGGGGAUCACCAGGUUGCCUAAGGAGAGGUGAACUGGCCUAGGUCGGAAAUGGAGCAGGUCAACACUCCCAUGCCGAUCACGCCUGUGACUAGCCACUACACUCCAGCCUGGGCAAUAUAGCGAGGCCACGUCUCU
rnacentral:SRP_RNA from 1 species